GCCCCGUGCCGCCGGCCCGCCCCGCGCCGCCUCCCCCGCCCCCAAUCCCUGGCGGACCUCUUCUCCUCCUCCCCUCCAUCUUCUUCGCGUGCGACGGCCGGCGCAGCUCCGACUCCGGCUCGUCUUCGUCGCGCCGGUACAAGGAGGUAGCCGGGAUCACCUGGAGCAGCACGCAGGGGAUUCACUGGUGGAGCGCAGCGCGAGCGCGCGGGAGCGGCGCUGCUGGUGGAGCGCGGGCCGCCGAGGCUGUUUUCCAGUCUGCAUCCGCAUCGCCGUCGCCCUCCCAACCAGCCAUGUAGCAGCCUGCGCUCCUCCGUCCCAUCUUUAUCAAGGGAUGCAGGUCCUCAAUCUCUCCAUGUGACUCUCCAUCUCUCUCUCCCUAAUGGUGGAAAGGGCCGACAGAGGGCAUGGAGGUGAGAAAUAAGGGUGGAUGACUGAGUUUGUUCCAAGCUGUUUUUUUUACUUGUCGUGUUGGUGCUUGGAGAUGAUGUGCAGCUCUUCCUAUGAGAUGAGUUCAUCCUACUCUUCCCUUAUCUCUGUGUUGUUCAUUUACUCAAUUAACUGACUUCCCGUCUUGGGUCACUAUGAUUGUUAGCUGCUGUAGGCAAGACAACAAGAAGUCAAUAAAAAAGUCGAGACUCAUGUUUCAGGAGCAAGUAUGGGGAUAUAUCAUGUCCAUGAAGCACCAGUUGGUUUGUUGGAAAGACCAAAUUGCUCUAGAAUUUGCUUGCUUUUAUAGCAUAGAAGUCGAUCGGGUGAAAAUGAUUGUACCCAUCAAGUAAGAAAAAUUGGUUUGAAUGGUGGUUCAGAUGCUGGAAGUAUGAUAGAAGCAAUUGUUGAUCUUUCGAUGAGUGAUGAGCUGCAAGGUGCAAGAGCGCAAGUGGUUAUAGCUGAACUUGAAGCUCUAUCAAAACUGACGGACAAGAUUCUUCUCGAGCUCGAUAAUAUUCAGAUUUUGAUGCAUCAGCAAUUAUACUCGAUAAGAGGCAGUGGGAGUUUAGUCAGGCCAUAGCUGGUGCCCCUGGGUAAUAUGCCAAAGCUACGAUGUCGGUGUGGCUGAUCUGUAUGGCGGGAACGAGGAGUCAGCCAGUGGGCAAGAUCGAAAAUCCCAAACCAAUUUGAACAUCUUUUUUUUUCUUCAGGCUAGAAGUUAAUUGGACAUGAAUCUCUUGCUGGUGGCUACCGAUUGUUUUAUACAUAAAUUAAUUUUCAUGUACCAAAUGACCUACAUGGUUGGCUUUGAUGGUUUGCUAAAUUAUAAACAAUGAUUAUUUAGCUAAUUUGAUGAUUGAUUCACUUUUCAGGAUAGGAUGGGGAACAAGUUUGACCACGUGGGCCUCCUGACUCGUGGGCAAUCUCUCAAUCCAUACUAUAAAAAGUAUAUACUUAGUCUGCUAUGAGUCCACUUUUCAUUUGGUGCUUAAGAUUUCUGUGCUUUGCUGCAAUGCUCAUUGGUUAGAAGCUUAUCUGCUGAUAACCAGGAUUAUUAUAUCCUUGAGUUUUCUCUGCUCCCAGCAUUCUUAGGAUUGUUGGUGGAGCUCAUUGUGUUUGUCAAGGUAUCUAAUAUUGUUGAUGACCCAAACCCUUCCCUGCCCCAUCUACUACGUCUUCGACAGUUAACACCAGAUUGUUGAAUGCACUAUUUGUUUGGAGAGGCUACCAAUGCUGUUGUGAAAUUUCAUUACAUGAGAAAAUAUAAGAUUUCAUUGUUGGGGAUUGUUCCUGAGCAAGCAGAAGAUUCUGCUAAAGUAGAUGUGUUAUUCUCCUUUUAGAUUUUCGUCUGGAAAAUCAUUGAGCUGCAUGCAUGUAGCAUAUGUGACAGAUUAUUUUCAGAGCCAUACACCUCUUCCACAUGUUCUGCUGGUUGAUAUUGUCGCACUUAAAGAAGCCAUUGAGGUCUUCUGCAAUAAGGGUGUCUCUGGUAGUUCGAGUGAUGAGUUACUCGACACCUUCUGUGACAAUAUUUUGAAGAUAGGCUUUGGUGAAAAGCUCGAGGGGAGAGGUUCAUCUUUCUGACUUUUGGCGCCCUACCGGGCCUCUUCGCCGGUUCGCCAUCCUCACUGCAUUAUCGCCUAUGUCUCCUUCUGCUUCUCCUACACCGCCAGAAACAAGCGAAGGAUAAUAUCAUUGCCUCCUACGGCCACGAAAAGACCAUGGUGCUUAUCGUAAUUAUUGACUUCUUCCUAUGCAUGGCAGUACGCAUCUGAUUGUUCUUUUUUCAUUUCUAGAGGUCUGUGUUUCUUCGCUGCAUAAAACCUAUUUAUAGAAGCUUGUCUCAUCUGAAUAUUUGACUUAUCUGUGAGAGAAGUUAUUUCAUUAAUUAUAUUAUUUAAAUUUGUAGUGAUUGUAUAUACAAUUAUAUUUAGAAGGUAUGUUUUCUGUUUUUCUUUUGAUAUGUACCAGAUGAGAAAAGUAUUUGUUAACUUGAGUACCUUUUCUCUUUACAUGGCUUAACCUUAUAUUUUUCCUGUAAAGAGUAACGACAUAAGAAAAUAUUGAUGCACGACUUCAUGUGACGCCUGACCUUGCUCAGUUAAGAAACUUACCAAUAUGCCUAAAAGUAGCUCGUACAAGAAUUGAUUAUUUGUAGUCGCUGUAUAUACAAUUCUAUUUGGAAGUCUGUAUCUACUUGAUAUCUUCUUCCCUUUUAGAAUUAUUUUUUAAUGUUUGUAUUACUGGUGGCUGCUAAUUUAUUAUGUGAGGUAGCUAUUUUCCGUUAUUGUAAAUGUAGAGAAUGAAUCCCAUGUUCAUACAAUUGUGUAUCAAAUCUGAAACACCGCGAAGGAUUUAGGAUUAGAAUUAUAGUCUCUCCACACAUGUUCUGUUACAUAUCUAAACUCGAAUAAACUGAUAGCAGAUGUUCAGCUGGACUUUAUUGUAGAAAAUAGAAGUUCACUGCUCCUUUUUUUACGUGCUCAAUCUUAUUUGGUCCCUUACUCCUGAUUCCUUUUCUUUUAAUGUAGAUAACAAACACUAUGUUCUAAAAAGUGCAGAGCCAUGUGUCUCAAAUCUGAAACAUGGUGGAAGAUUUAGGAGCAGGUUUGUAGUCUCUACAAACAUAUACUCUGAUGCAUAUCUGAAAUUGAAAUUGAAGAAGCCAGUAACAUGUGGCCAUCUGAAGUUUACUUAUGGAAAAUGAACGUUUGCUACUACUUUCUUUACUUGCUCAAGCUUGCUUGCUAGAUUACUCCAGAUUCUCUUUCCUUUUGUACUCCUCAUGUGCCUAUGCAAAAGGUUGGACGCACGAUAUAUGUGUCCUUUGGUACAUAUAUUCUGUUAAUUGUUUAUAGAUGGAAAUCCUAGGGAUUCUCACUUAGUAUAUUCACUUCCAAAUAAAAAGAUGUAUAGUGAAUACCCUGUUGAUUGGCUGUUGUUUCAUAAUAAGUUUUUUAACAGAGAUAACUUGGCUAUUCGGCAAACUGUUAAUGAUAACACAUGUAUGUUAUGUUUCGAGUUUGAAAGUGGUGAAUCAUCUUUUUUUUUAAUGUGAUAUUGCUAAGACUAUUUGGUUAAUUUUUUCUGACAUCUUAGAGUUUGACCCGAGAAAUGAUCCAAGAUAUUCUAUUUUCUCUAAAUUGGGACAAACAGAAAUGUAUUAUUUGCUAGAAGAGUUAGUGCUCUACAGAUGAAUCUCUUGCUGACUUAUAUUAUUUAGUAAAUGGUAUGUUAUAAUUUGAUAUGUCUGGGUAGUUGCCUUUUAUCAAGAUUGGUUCCUCCUUUAAAGAUUUCACUUGCAAAGGAGGUAUGGGCCAGGUAAAAUCCCAAACUGCAGGUAUUGGCUUAUAAAGUAGUGGCUUUGUAUUGAAGAACCACUUACUUUCACCAGUUUGUAGAUGGAUUAAAGAGAUGGCUAGCUAUUCAUGUGUUGAAUAUAUCCCUCUCCUUUUAUAAAAACAGAGACAAUUGUAACACUGCAGAACAAGCAUUUAGAUGCUUGGAGCUUGAUACGAUGUACUCCGUAUCAAGUAAACAAAGUAGCUUUGAUUCUUCUUUCUGCUAUGCUUACUUCUAGACUACUUUUUAUUGCGUCACUUCAUUUACCAGGUUACUCCACAGAAUUAAAGAAAACUGGUGCUGAAACUAUAUGUACUCUUUGUUUUAAGCAAUCCGAACAAGGUUGGGGCCAGGUCACAAAGUGUAUUCACUGUUUGAUUUUUCGAUAUAGAUAUUUCAGUGUCCAAGUUUGCAGUUUUAGUGACAAUGAUGCAGUAAAUAUGUUUUAUUUAUGGUUGCCUUAGUGAGCUAUUUGUAUAGUACACCAUCUUAUCUUGAUUUACUCCGUUACACAUCAUGAUUUCAUAGUUGUCGUAACCUUUAACUUUUGCUAGAUUCAGGCUUUGCCACAAAUCAUUCCAGGUUUGCAGAUUUUAUCAGUAGCUUAUAGCUACGCAAUCAUUCGGUCUGUGCAUGGAAAUUAGACUCGGAUCUAAGUACUUGCACUUUUUACCGAAUUAUAUUUGCCAUGUCUAAGUGUGUUGCCACUUGCAAAGUUAAGCGUCAGUCCCAUGCUAAGCAUACUGUUGCAUCCAGGUGAUUUGAUACCUGCCUAAUUAUGCAUACGAUUUUCCAGGAAGAUGUUAUCUUGCUUCUCUCAUGGCCAGAUUCGGUGUAUUGCAUUAUAUCAGCUAUGUUUAAGUUGUUCUUGAUGCUACAGGCUAAUCAUCCAUUUCAAUAAAGGGAGCGAUUGUACCCAUCUGAGCUACACUGCCAGGGAUCAGUUAUGGACCCUUGCUCAGGAAACUCCGAGGAUAAUCAAGAUCACUUUUUGAAUAUUACUCAAUCUUAUACUAGAAGAACUUGGUGGUUCAAAGGAUGAAUUCCAUCUUGAGCUAUGCGAAUAUAUCUAAGUUUGUGUGACUGUUCUGUUUAACACCUCUGCACCAGCGGAGUGUUCUCCUGUGUACCUCUAUGUUUGUGAUAAUGCCAAAAGAACUAUGAAACAGCGGGGGAUUCUUCAUGAUUCCGUUCGUUUUGACACAUAUGUUGACCUGGCGACAAAUACAAUCAUCAUAAGCUUCCUAUGGGCUUUGUCAAUAAGCAUUUGCUACUCUGUUCGUGA